rnacentral:rRNA from 1 species
UACGUAGGGGGCAAGCGUUGUCCGGAAUCAUUGGGCGUAAAGCGCGUGUAGGCGGUCCGGUAAGUCCGCUGUGAAAGUCGGGGGCUCAACCCUCGGAUGCCGGUGGAGUACUGUCGGGCUUGAGUACGGAAGAGGCGAGUGGAAUUCCUGGUGUAGCGGUGAAAUCGCGCAGAGUAUCAGGAGGAACACCAAUGUCGAAGGCA